rnacentral:rRNA from 1 species
GACGAACGCUGGCGGCGUGCCUAAUACAUGCAAGUCGAACGCAGUUGCGAAAGGGUGAGUAACGCGUAGGUAAAUGGCUGGUGGCGGGGGCUAACUAUUGGAAACGAUAGCUCAUACCGCAUACUACUAGAUGGACCUGCGUUGUAUUAGCUAGUUGGUGCGGUAACGGAGCAACAAGGCAACGAUACAUAGCCGACCUGAGAGGGGGAUCGGCCACACUGGGACUGAGACACGGCCCAGACGCCUACGGGAGGCAGCAGUAGGGAAUCUUCGGCAAUGGGGGGAAGCCUGACCGAGCAACGCCGCGUGAGUGAAGAAGGGUUUCGGAUCGUAAAGCUCUGUUGUGAAGGAAGCGGUACUUAACCAGAAAGGGACGGCUAACUACGUGCCAGCAGCCGCGGUAAUAC